rnacentral:rRNA from 1 species
CUGUUUUAAUCAAAAACAUGGCUUCUUGUUUUGUUAAGGAUAAGAGGUCUGGCCUGCCCGGUGGGUUUAUCCUAAACGGUCGCAGCUGCCACUGUGCGAAGGUAGCGUAAUAGGUCGUCCUUUAAUUGAGGGAAAGUAUGAAUGGUCGGAUGUUGGAAAAACUUUAUUGAAAAUGAAAGGUUGAAUUUUACUUUUUAGUGCAAAGGCUAAAAUAAGUUUAUUAGACGAGAAGACCCUGUUGAGCUUGGUUAAUUUUGUGUCUUUUUGGUAUGAAGUAAUGUUUUUUCGGGGCUGAAAGGAAGGGAUUAUAAUGCCUUCUAUGUUUAUAUUGAUCCAACAUGGUUGAUAAGUAGAAGAUAGCUACCACAGGGAUAACAGCGCAAUCUUCCUAAUAAGGCCAUAUUUAAGGGAUGGUUUGCGACCUCGAUGUUGAAUCAGGAUUUCUAUUAGGUGUAGCAGCUUAGUAAGUAGGACUGUUCGUCCUUUAAAAUCCUACGUGAUCUG